GUGUUUGCUUUGGCAGCACAGGUACUAAAAUUGGAACCAUACAGAGAAGAUUAGCUUGGCCCCUGGGCAAGGCUGACAUGCAAGUUAUGAAACAUUUUGUAUUUAU
ensembl:snRNA U6 U6 spliceosomal RNA